GAUGAAGAACGUAGCGAAAUGCGAUAAGUAAUGUGAAUUGCAGAAUUCAGUGAAUCAUCGAGUCUUUGAACGCACAUUGCGCCCCCUGGUAUUCCGGGGGGCAUGCCUGUCCGAGCGUCAUUGCUGCCCUCAAGCACGGCUUGUGUGUUGGGCCCCGCCCCCCGGCUCCCGGGGGGCGGGCCCGAAAGGCAGCGGCGGCACCGCGUCCGGUCCUCGAGCGUAUGGGGCUUCGUCACCCGCUCCGUAGGCCCGGCCGGCGCCCGCCGGCGACCCCCCUCAAUCUUUUUUCAGGUUGACCUCGGAUCAGGUAGGGAUACCCGCUGAACUUAAGCAUAUCAAUAAGCGGAGGA
rnacentral:misc_RNA from 1 species